AAGUUUGCCUACCUAAUUGCAUCUCAACCCUGUUUUCCAGGUAACUGUGGUGACACUGCCUCCUCAACACAGCUACCUUCUGUGGAUAUAGAAGAGGAAGUCAGAGAUGUGAAGCAUGAGGGGGACUGAAGCCUGUGCUGGCUUGAAGAUGAAGGGACCUAUGUGCUGAGGAAUGUGGUGGCCUCUGAAGUUCCCCCAUUGACGGGAGCACAAAGACAUCCCACACAGCCCAACAUCACAAGGAACUGAAUUUGGCCAACAACCUGAACUCACUUGGAAUUGGAUUCUUCCCCAGAACUUCUAGCCCUGGGAGAGCUGAUCUCAUCUGCUCACUUCUGAGGACCAGGAGGGGAACUGCACACAGGUUGACUCACUUGAGAAGAUUGCCGCCUGCCCUUGAAGAGCCCUGUAGGUGAGGCUUCCUCUUCAUGUCUUAACAGUAGGAUGACUGGCUUCAAAUAUGUUUGAUACUGUCUCUUAUCAGCUGAAUAAUGUUCCCUCACCCACCAAAAAAAUUCAUGUGCCAAAGUCCUAACCCCUAGUACCUCAGAAUGUGACUAUGUUGUGAGACAGGGUCUUUAGAGAGGUAAUGAAGUUAAAAUAAGAUGAUUGAAGUGGGUUCUAAUCCAACAUGACUGGUGUCCCUGCCAGAAGAGGAGAUUAAGACACAGACACACGAUCGUGUGAAGACAUGGGGAGAAGACGGCUGUCUACAAGCCGGGAGAGAGGUCUCAGAAGAAACCAGCCCUGCUGACACUUUGAUCUCCAACCUCAAGUCUCUAGAACUGUGAGAAAAUAAA